CGCAAAACGGGGAUUAGAUACCCCGGUAGUCCAGGGUGUAAACGCUGCAGACUUGGUGUUGGGGACCCUUCGGGGGUGUUCAGUGCCGGAGAGAAGUUGUUAAGUCUGCUACUUGGGGAGUACGUCCGCAAGGAUGAAACUUAAAGGAAUUGGCGGGGAGCACCGCAACGGGAGGAACGUGCGGUUUAAUUGGAUUCAACACCGGAAAACUCACCAGCAGCGACUAUUACAUGAAAGUCAGGCCGAUGACCUUACUAGAUUUUUAGAGAGGUGGUGCAUGGCCGUCGUCAGUUCGUACCGUAAGGCGUUCUCUUAAGUGAG
rnacentral:rRNA from 1 species